GCAGUCGAGCGGAUCUUCAUUAGCUUGCUUUUGAAGAUCAGCGGCGGACGGGUGAGUAACACGUGGGCAACCUGCCUGUAAGACUGGGAUAACUUCGGGAAACCGGAGCUAAUACCGGAUAAUCCUUUCCCUCACAUGAGGGAAAGCUGAAAGACGGUUUCGGCUGUCACUUACAGAUGGGCCCGCGGCGCAUUAGCUAGUUGGUGAGGUAACGGCUCACCAAGGCGACGAUGCGUAGCCGACCUGAGAGGGUGAUCGGCCACACUGGGACUGAGACACGGCCCAGACUCCUACGGGAGGCAGCAGUAGGGAAUCUUCCGCAAUGGACGAAAGUCUGACGGAGCAACGCCGCGUGAGCGAUGAAGGCCUUCGGGUCGUAAAGCUCUGUUGUCAGGGAAGAACAAGUAUCGGAGUAACUGCCGGUACCUUGACGGUACCUGACCAGAAAGCCACGGCUAACUACGUGCCAGCAGCCGCGGUAAUACGUAGGUGGCAAGCGUUGUCCGGAAUUAUUGGGCGUAAAGCGCGCGCAGGCGGUUCCUUAAGUCUGAUGUGAAAGCCCCCGGCUCAACCGGGGAGGGUCAUUGGAAACUGGGGAACUUGAGUGCAGAAGAGGAGAGCGGAAUUCCACGUGUAGCGGUGAAAUGCGUAGAGAUGUGGAGGAACACCAGUGGCGAAGGCGGCUCUCUGGUCUGUAACUGACGCUAAGGCGCGAAAGCGUGGGGAGCGAACAGGAUUAGAUACCCUGGUAGUCCACGCCGUAAACGAUGAGUGCUAAGUGUUAGAGGGUUUCCGCCCUUUAGUGCUGCAGCAAACGCAUUAAGCACUCCGCCGGGGGAGUACGGCCGCAAGGCUGAAACUCAAAGGAAUUGACGGGGGCCCGCACAAGCGGUGGAGCAGGUGGUUUAAUUCGAAGCAACGCGAAGAACCUUACCAGGUCUUGACAUCCUCUGACCACCC
rnacentral:rRNA from 2 species